AACGAACGCUGGCGGCAGGCUUAACACAUGCAAGUCGAACGCCCCGCAAGGGGAGUGGCAGACGGGUGAGUAACGCGUGGGAACGUACCCUUUACUACGGAAUAACUCAGGGAAACUUGUGCUAAUACCGUAUGUGCCCUUCGGGGGAAAGAUUUAUCGGUAAAGGAUCGGCCCGCGUUGGAUUAGCUAGUUGGUGGGGUAAGGGCCUACCAAGGCGACGAUCCAUAGCUGGUCUGAGAGGAUGAUCAGCCACAUUGGGACUGAGACACGGCCCAAACUCCUACGGGAGGCAGCAGUGGGGAAUAUUGGACAAUGGGCACAAGCCUGAUCCAGCCAUGCCGCGUGAGUGAUGAAGGCCCUAGGGUUGUAAAGCUCUUUCACCGGUGAAGAUAAUGACGGUAACCGGAGAAGAAGCCCCGGCUAACUUCGUGCCAGCCGCCGCCGUAACAC
rnacentral:rRNA from 1 species